GUAUACCAAAAUAGACGCAAUACAUUUUUAAUGGAUGGAAUAAAUAAGGAAAAAGUGAUACAUUUUUCUAGAACGGAGAGAAUAUAUAGUAUCCAACAAAAAUCUCGAAAACAUAUUUAGGAAUAUGCAUGUUUCAAAUCGAAUAACAAACAUAAGCAGAAGUGAGUAGUGAGAUAUGAAAUGAACCCUAAUCAUCUCUAGUCUUCAAGUUCAGAUCCAACUACAACCAGCUUCUUUCCUCACCUUCCUCUCCUUCAUCUCCCUCCUCACCCUCGCCACCCCGUCCCAAUCUCCCCGGCCCGCAUACACAUUCGACAAGCUCACGUACACGACCUCCUUCUCCCCGUCGAGCUCCACCACCUUCCGAGCUGCAACCUCAGCCACUCCAACGUCCCCACAGCUCACGCAAGCACCGAGCAAUGCCCUCCAAACCAUCCCACAAGAUCCGAACCCGAGCUCACCAAUCAUCUCCUCCGCAUCCCUUACAUCCCCUUCUUGCCCCAUCACCUUUAUCAUCAAGCAACAAUGCUCCGGCAUCGGAUCAAUCCCAUACUCAACCCUCAUCACGUCAAAGUAACCUCUCACGACGUCUAGCCGGACCCUGCCAUGCCAACACGCGGAUAGAACAUUGAGGAAGGUGAUCUCAUCCGGCUCCAAAUCUUUGACCCCUUUCAUCUCCUUGAAGAGCUCAAACACCUUCCGGGAUCACCAUUGUGCGCGUAUCCAGCAUCAACGCUUCCAAGUGACCAGAUUCCUCUCCGGGAGGGACUCAAACGACCUCUCCGCCUCCUCCACCGCCCCACAUUUGAAGUACAUGUCCGUGAGAGCACUCCCCACUACAACAUACUCAUCCAAGCCACACUUCAAUGCGCAGCAAUGCGUCAAACUCCCCAAUGUGAGAGCUGCUAAACCAGCAAUGCUGCUCAAAACACUCGAAAACGUGAACUCAUCCAUACGAAUGCGACACGAAUGCAUCUUACAGAAGAACCUCACUGCGUCUCUGCCCCUUCCCCUGUUUGCAUACCCUGUUAUGAUCGCAUUCCAAGAAGACGAGUUCGGGUUUGGCANUGUGAAAUUUUAAUGGAUAAAAUGAAAAUGUUUGAUAGAUAACGUGUUGAGUAAAGAUGAGUUGUGUGAGGUCGUAUACCAAAAUAGACGCAAUACAUUUUUAAUGGAUGGAAUAAAUAAGGAAAAAGUGAUACAUUUUUCUAGAACGGAGAGAAUAUAUAGUAUCCAACAAAAAUCUCGAAAACAUAUUUAGGAAUAUGCAUGUUUCAAAUCGAAUAACAAACAUAAGCAGAAGUGAGUAGUGAGAUAUGAAAUGAACCCUAAUCAUCUCUAGUCUUCAAGUUCAGAUCCAACUACAACCAGCUUCUUUCCUCACCUUCCUCUCCUUCAUCUCCCUCCUCACCCUCGCCACCCCGUCCCAAAUCUCCCCGGCCCGCAUACACAUUCGACAAGCUCACGUACACGACCUCCUUCUCCCCGUCGAGCUCCACCACCUUCCGAGCUGCAACCUCAGCCACUCCAACGUCCCCACAGCUCACGCAAGCACCGAGCAAUGCCCUCCAAACCAUCCCACAAGAUCCGAACCCGAGCUCACCAAUCAUCUCCUCCGCAUCCCUUACAUCCCCUUCUUGCCCCAUCACCUUUAUCAUCAAGCAACAAUGCUCCGGCAUCGGAUCAAUCCCAUACUCAACCCUCAUCACGUCAAAGUAACCUCUCACGACGUCUAGCCGGACCCUGCCAUGCCAACACGCGGAUAGAACAUUGAGGAAGGUGAUCUCAUCCGGCUCCAAAUCUUUGACCCCUUUCAUCUCCUUGAAGAGCUCAAACACCUUCCUGGGAUCACCAUUGUGCGCGUAUCCAGACAUCAACGCGUUCCAAGUGACCAGAUUCCUCUCCGGGAGGGACUCAAACGACCUCUCCGCCUCCUCCACCGCCCCACAUUUGAAGUACAUGUCCGUGAGAGCACUCCCCACUACAACAUACUCAUCCAAGCCACACUUCAAUGCGCAGCAAUGCGUCAAACUCCCCAAUGUGAGAGCUGCUAAACCAGCAAUGCUGCUCAAAACACUCGAAAACGUGAACUCAUCCAUACGAAUGCGACACGAAUGCAUCUUACAGAAGAACCUCACUGCGUCUCUGCCCCUUCCCCUCGUUUGCAUACCCUGUUAUGAUCGCAUUCCAAGAAGACGAGUUCGGGUUUGGCAUUCUUGAAAGCAAGGUUACAGCAUCUUCUACCACUCCAAACUUCGCGAUGCCAUCUAUAAGCUCGUUGUACGAGAUGGUGUCGGGAUUAGGCAUCCGACAAAAAAC
rnacentral:lncRNA from 1 species